UGCUUUAUCACUGGGAGUUUCCUUAUUAUUUUAAAAAUAAGUUAGUGUUUUGGAGGAAGAAAUAACAUUUCCCCAAGAUUUAGGGGAACACUGCAGCUAACAAGGCCCUCUGAAACAGCACCAAACAGAAGAACAUGUUAAGACACUAUCCUUAUUAGGAUGGUGGGGUGCUUCCUCUGUCUCGUGGUUAAUUCCAGGCGCUUCUCUCCUUCAGAUUCCUGACUUCCUCUGAUGGCGUUUGAGGGGGAGAGGAUAAGCCAAGGGAAGAGGAAAAUCAAAAUGCUUUCAGCAGCACGGCUUCCGCAUGCUGGAGAGGUGGUGUAUGGGGUUGUGGCUUGGCCUGUUUCCUGAAACCUGCAAGGUAGCACCCUGAAGGUAGCUUGUAACCCUCCACUCUCACCCCAAGGUAAUACCUCCUUCCUGUCUGGCCACCUGUCACAGCCAGUGGAAGUAGGGUUUGGAGGGAUGGUUGGUACAUCCUUACACAAUGUUAGGUGGAGACUUAGUGAUGGCUUCGGGGGAAGGCAAAGGGAGUCUCUCUUGCAUCAGGGGGCUGGAAGCACCGCUGCCAUGAUCAAGCCCUUUGGAUGAAAGGAGGGCUGUGAGAUUUGCUGCCCAGAUGUGGGUUUGCAAAUGACCUUGUUGGUCUGUUACCCUGGCCUAGCUCAUAGAAGCUUUCUUCUCCUGUGGCUUGGGAGAGAGCCACUAUAAAAGACAAGCUGUGGCUAGUAAGCAUCUUCUAUGUGCUCUGACUCUCUCAUGCAAGAGCUAGGGCAUAGGAUCCUCAUGAUGGCCCUUCAAGAGGGGUUAAUCUUGUCGUUGUUGCACUUCUAUGAGGAAACUGACCAUGUGAGGCUAAGUAACUUGCUCAAGGUCACACAGGGGUGAUUGAUGGGGUCACCCAGACUGUCUGACUCUUGUGUGGGUAUGGCUGCCCUCCUUGUCAGCCGGUGGGGUAUAGAGGCUGGCCCUCCAUUCUCGAUUUGCUCAGUAAUGGGGGCAGGACAACUCCACCUCCUUCUUCCCAAAGGAAAGUUGGGCUCAUUUUGGAAAGAAAGCAAACAGCCAUUCUCCUCUGGGGCUCUAUCCGGGGACAGGGCAGAAAGGAAAUCCAGUACACUGCGGAAGGAGUCAUUUUUUGGCUUGGUUCUCACCACCCAUCUCUAGUUCAAACCCUGCUUUUUAGCACAUCUGUGUUGAUGGGGCGGGGCCUGGGAAUCACGAUUUGCCUGUAAGAAGUGGAUGCACUUGGAGAGGCUGGUGCUUCCACCAACCAGGAAGAGCUGGGGGCACCCUGCUUGCUCUCCAAAACUUCACAGAAAUCCCCAAGAGCUGGGGAUAUGGGUUCUGUUCUGGAUCUCCAAGAGACGACGUCAUGCUAGAAUGUUCCCUUCAUUUUUGAAAACUGCACUCCUGCCUGGGGCCGUCUCGUGUCUUCAAUGGCUAAAGUAGAUGCCGAUUUGGGCAACCAGCUUUCUUUUCUGUUUUGAAAAUUAAUGCACCUGUGUAGUCAGCCAGGCUUGACAGUUGCAACAAUAACUCAUGGACAAGUUGUGUGACUGGUGGUAGUGACUCCAUUUGCUCACACCUCCUUGGAUUCGCUCCCUGGUGUAGUUCCCUCCCACACUGACUGUGGGUUUGGCCAGGUAACUUGCUUUGGCCAAUGGGACACCAUCAACCAUGAUUAGCAGAGGUUUGAAAAGUGCUUGUGCAUUGAGAUUUGCCCUCUCACACUGUUCUUGGGACCCUUACAACUGCCAACAUGUGAAUGUGCCUGGGUUAGGCAGGUGGAGGUAUGUGGCCCAGUCACCACUGCCACCCAGCUGACAACCAGCACCAACCACCAGACGCACUGCAUGAGGCCAUCCUAGACCAUUCGGUUCCCAGGUGACCUGCCAGCUGGUCACAGGUGAGUCCAGCAGAAGAACUGCCCAACCCAGCCCAGCCCAAAUUGCAGAUCUGCAGAAUCAUGGGCU
rnacentral:lncRNA from 1 species